CAGAUUAUCAGUGCAGACCGCAGAGCCACUGUGAACUCGGGCAAAAAGAAAUUUAUUUUAUUUAAGUAGCUUUUGUUCUUGUGAGUCAAGUGUGAAUUUGGAAUCCACCAGCUAUUUCUUAGGAGUUACGUUACCAAGAGAACGGACUUACAGUGCUGCGAAGGGUAAAUAGUACCUCAUCCUCUGAUCCCCCAUCAGGUUGUUGAGGUCAUUUGAGGCCAGUUGUCGAAUCUGUUAGGAAAGAGACUCACUUCAAACACCACAUCUUAGUAUAUUCUGCAGAGCCUUUUUGCGUCAGGAAUGUUGCGGCUUAAAGGUGUCCCCACCGCAUCAUGGCAGGUGGUGACUGCAGUGUUGCUGAGCAGCAUCCAGGUUGUGCAUCAGGAAGGAGGAAACCGGGGUGUCCGGGGAAAGCCCACGCACUGACAAGGAGACCUCCAUACAGAUGAGGCCAGGAUUUCAACCCUGGUACUCAGAACAUGAGGCAUAUGUGCUAACCAGCAAUGGAACAAUGUGUGUGUGAACACAAAGAACAUGAUGCAGCAAUGAAGAGUACCACGCUGAAGAUUGGUGGUUUAAUUCAGGGCCAACAAUGCAUCAGACUAAAUUCUAUGUCACUACAAUGAUCUGAUAUACUCACACACAGUGAUGGGCCAAAGUCUUCAGAAACAAGUCUUUUAAAAACAAUAAAAAUCAUAAAUACAGGACAUAGAUAUUCAGUACAUCAUUAAGAGAAGUGUUAAUUAGGAAGCUCGUUCAUAGUUCAUAUAGAAAGAAAAAUAGACAUUGAUGAUUCUGUUUAUGAUUUUAGAAGGUGAAACGUUCCAUUGAUUUCAUGAAUCAUUACCACAGUAGUUCUGAAAGUUUUCUGGGCACACCCUACUAUUUGGAAUUUUCAGGGCUUCUCUGAGCUUGAAAUUCCCCCAUCCUGUCAUAAUGUCAA